GCCAGGCAUGGUGGGGCACACCUGUAAUCCCAGCAGCUUGGGAGGCUGAGGCAGGAGGAUCGCAAGUUCAAAGCCUGCCUCGGCAUCUUAGCAAGACACUAAGCAACUCAGCAAGAUCCUGUCUCUA
rnacentral:sRNA from 1 species